rnacentral:rRNA from 1 species
GACGAACGCUGGCGGCGUGCUUAACACAUGCAAGUCGAACGGUGAAGCGCCCUCUUUUUUGGUGGGAGUGGAUGAGUGGCGAACGGGUGAGCAACACGUGAGUAACCUGCCCCCUUCUCCUGGAUAACCGCACGAAAGCGUGGCUAAUACGGGAUAUUCUGGGUCUGUCGCAUGAUGGGUCUGGGAAAGAUAUUGUUUCGGUGGGGGAUGGGCUCGCGGCCUAUCAGCUUGUUGGUGGGGUGAUGGCCUACCAGGGCGGUGACGGGUAGCCGGCCUGAGGGGGUAGACGGUCUCACGGGGAGUGAGACACGACCAGGACUCUGACGGGACGCAGCCUGGGGAGAUAUUGCACAAUGGGAGCAAGACUGAUACAGCGGAGCGGCGUGGGCAAUGAAGGCCUGCGGGUUAUGAACCUCUUUGGCUAGUGAAGCAGGUCUGGCUCGUAUGUGGGGGGAUUGACGGUAGCUGGAUAAGAAGCGCCGGCUAACUACGUG